UUUUCUGGGAGGAAAAAAGCUUAUAUUUACAAGACAUGAGUGUCAUCUACUCCUAUUUUGUAAUUAGCACUGUAAAUCCGCUGGGGUAAGGUUGUUUCAAAAAAAUUUUUAUGCUUUGAUUCAAAUACGUAUUUUGUGUUUGACCCUUAAUGUUUUUCUUUUCUUUCUGUCGUUAAAUAAGAAAAGCUAUGAUUUGGCAGGAGAAUUUGGUUUCUUUUUCUGGUUGAUUUGCUCUUUGCUUUUGGGGUUCUCUUUUUCAUGAUAGCUGUCAAGCACUGACUAUACUCAAAGAACUCUGAGUUAAAUGUGCCAAAUGGUUACCUCUUAUAGCAAAAAAAAAAAAAAAAAAAAAAAAAAAAAAAAAAAAAAAAGAGUCUGUCCUCUCAGUGAGAACCUUAGAAAGAUGGAAGAUGUCAACCAGACCUGGAGAAUUACCUAGUGGGUUAACAUGUGCUGGUUAGUCUGGACUCUUUCCUUGGGAGAGCAAAGAAGAAAAAGUCACUGCAGAUUGAAGGGGAUGCUAAGGAUAGUAGCCUUUGAAUUAGGAGUGAAAUGUGAAAGCAGAAUAAUCCUGAUGAAGAAAACCAGAGGAGUCAUAUGGAAAGUUAUGCCAAAAUAAAUGACCAAUGACAGUACAAUUGAGAGGCUUAAAUGGCAGAUGUUCAGUACCCUCUGGAAAGGUGUGAUCUGGCAGCUUUGAUAGGUGUUUUCUUAGUAUGGGAACGGGAAAGGAGAGAAAGGUCCAUGCUAUGCCCUCACCCAUAGUGAUGCUGAAAUGCCCAUAUACAGUCCAUGUGCUCUCCCAUUAAAUUGUGGCGUGAAGGAGCUAUUGUCACCAGUGGCAUAUUGCUUUACCUUUUAGGGAUGUAAUUGAAAAAAAAAAUGAGAACCCUGGUUUUGAGGCUGGAAGCCAGUGAAUGAAUAAUCUGUUGCCUGAGCCUAGACCUAGGGAAGGAGAGUGACUAGAAGAAACACCUUCCUAUUGUAAUUAUUGCAAUUUCUUAUACGUACUGUAGAUGUCAUGGCCUCAUUAGGCAGGGAUUUUGUGUAUAUACAUUUGUUUUCCUAAGAAAAACCUUCACCAUUCAUCAGAGAUGAGUUCUGUAGUUUAGAAGGGGUGGUAUUCUCUGCAUAUUAUUUGGAUAUCCCCAUUUAGUAUUAGGCUCAUCUCCAGUUUUCUGGGAUUGAUUGGAAUGGGGUUUUAUGAUCUUUAAGAUUUCAUCUCCCGGAAAAGGUAUAUACUUUGUUGGAAUUAACCGGCUCCCUGAAUUGUCUCAACUAACCUUGAACUCGGAGAUGCCUAGAGUAUUUGACAGGCAAGUCUCGUUGUGAAUAUUCUUCUAACCAUUUAAUGGGGGUUUAUAUGUUAACAUAUAAUAUGUUUUCUUUGUUUUGCCUUGUCUCCAACCACUUUAAUCUAAUUUGUUCCAUUUACUUUUCUAAGCUUUUCAUCUUCCCACCAUUUUAAUACCAUCAGAGAUGGGGGCUGUCCAUGACAUUCAAACUUGACAUUAUCAAACACAAAAGGCAUCACUCAUACACUUGACUGCAUUACAAAGCAAGGGAAAAAAAUAGAUCCCAAAGGCUUAGAAAUUAUUGUUUCAUACCCUGAAUGUAGGAGGAUAUUUUUUUUUUUCUGUUUCCUUCAGUCUGCCUCAUUUGACUAUUUUGCUUCUGUGUGUUUUCAGAGAGUUCUGAAAACCCUGGAAAAAAUGAGCAUUUACAACUUCGUAACAUAUAAAUCCUUAAGUUUAUUGGAGGGAUGUGUAUUAAUAUGAUGGAAAUUUACAACUCUAUUAUUAUCUGUUAUUUGCUAGACACCAACCACUUCCUGAUGCAGUACCAAAAUUGAACCUUGCACGGGAGCUGUCUUUUCCCUGUUGCUCUCAGCUCAUCUAACUUUCAGACAGCUGUGGCCAAAUUUUUUUCCUGACUUACACAUCUGUGGUCACUGCAGUAACUCCAUUAUGGCUGGGUAGAAUAGAGAGCUAUUGAAUCCAUAGCAGCCCUGUGUUUGUUUACCUAUUAAAUGUGUGUGUGUGUGUGUGUGUGUGUUUGGAUGGGGGAAAGAUUCUUAAAGCUAGUCUAAAUGUCUUUGUUCCUACCUUUCCUUACUAUCCUGAACAUUCUAUUCAAAGACAAUUUACCCCCCUAUGUAAGACAACAUUUGUGAGCUGAACAAAUAGUGUUAUCAGAUUGUGGUGAAUUGCUCUGGUAGUAUUACACCAUGCAUAGAGAUCGGGUGUGCUGUAAAGCUCUGUAAAACAACCAGCUACAUGGUAUCCUACAGGUUUAAUAUACUUCUGUAGCCUUGUACUUGGGAAGGAUUUCUGUAAUUGGAGACAAUCUAGCAAGAACUUUUUAAGCUAUUGGAGGCCGAAAUACAUUUUUUUUUAAGAAAUGUGACUUUACAGGCUUGAAACUGAGUGGAUUACAAAUUUCUUUUAACUGGGCAGAAUCAUAAUUGCAUAUAUAGUACAGUCCUGAUUAUCCAGGGUUUGAAUUUCCGGCAUAGGGAUUAUCCAGAUUUCUUCUCUUACUCUCCUGUCUUCUCUCUAACUACCUGACAUGAAUCAUUUCUUUAAUCACUGGCACCUCUGCUAAUGUACAGAAAAGCAUAUAUGAGCAGCAAAAUCCAAACCUGUGAGUUUUCCUUCAGAAGAGCUAAUUAAGUAAAAAGUCUAAGUGGCAAGGUUUUUGAAACUAUUUUUUAAAAACUGGCUAAAUUUCCAUUUGGGGGUGCUUCUCUUCCUAUUUACAAAUGAUGCUUUACUAUAGAUGUUAAUAUGCCAGUAUUUUAUCCACACAUUUAAGAGACAAAAAGUAAUGAUGCCAAGUAGUUAAUUUCACUGUUCUAACUUCCAUCAUUCCCCUCCUCUAUCUCCCUCUAACUUUGAAUUAACUGGUUGCAUAUUGUGCCUGGUUGAAAUUUUAUGAGGCCACUUGGAUCAAGCAAGGUCCUUGUCCAGGUUAUCAGGGCUCUGAUAAGUACAUUCCUUGAGUAUUCAGUACAAAGGUGGAUUAUUGGUGCCCAAACUGAACUUAAUUCCCAAAACCAGUCCAAUAUUCAUUUCAUCAGCAGUGACUGCCAGUCAAUCCUCGAUAAAUUAUUUACAUUUAAGAUUUGACCCCCAGAGGUCGUCAAAGUCCCGAAUGACUUCAGAGACUUUAAAAAAAUCUUAGAGGAUUUAUGUUGAAAUGGUGAAAAAGUUAGCUAGGGUAGCUGCUUUUCCAGUGAGGCUGUGAUGACAGGAUAGACCUGGAUGUGGCCAGCCACCUUCCAGGCUUGUGGAACAAGGUACAGGAUCCCAUCUACUAGAAAUUGCUGCAGAAUCAGAAUUUGAUUUCUUCUCCUUUUCUGACACAUUAGUUGGGGCUUUGGACGUUUUCAAAAUCUUGUGGCCGUAUCUGCCAUGUUGUAACAAUGUCUCUUCAAAUAAUGCAUUCUCAUAUGAUCCUUGUUUGAUAAACAUGUCUAUAAAUAAUUGGUUGCAUUUGGAGGUGCUGAAUCAAACUUCCUAAGAUGUUUGUAUUUCUAAAUUUAUUAUGUAAUAUAAUAUAACUGAUAAGAUAUAUCAUAUGUAGUAUUGUUGACACAUUUACUAAAGGGCAAAAACUAUGACAAAAUACUAAAAAUGCUUUCUUAUCACUAGAUUAAAAUUGAGUUUAUUAGAAAGAAAUUUACCUGAAGUUUUUAAAUAUUGAGGUGUAAUUGAUGGCAUAUUAUAAUAACCAAUAGUUUUCAUUCCAUACAUACUCUAAAUGAAAAUUUAAACAGUAAUAUAGUACACAGAACUGAAAAUGGAAAACUAGGUGACUAUUAGAAAAACCAUUGCCAAAUCUAGUCAUGAGUUGUAUAUAUGUAGGAAAUGCCUCAUCAUUUAUGUGUGUAUGUACAUUUACAUUCAUGUAUAUACACAUGCUUAUAUUAUUAUUAUGCAUAUUACUCUAAAUAUGUAUGUGCAUGUUUCUAUCUAUAUCUCUAUCUUUGCAUCUAUAUCUGUAUUGAUAUCUGAAUCUAUAUCAUUAUUCAUAGGGAGAGAGAAUGGGCACAUUCCUAGUAAGGUAGAGUAUGGCUGUAUUCCUGGUAAGAUACUGUGUUUCCUUCCACCUGACAUUGUUAAUUUCUCAUAACCUGACAUGCAGUGUGCUAGGUACCAGUAUGCCAAGAUGAACCCGUCAUAACUCUUAAGGAAUUCAUGAUCUAGUCCCCAAAUUAGAAAUUAUUUU
rnacentral:lncRNA from 1 species